UGUAACUGUGUGUGACUGUCUGCCUUUAACUGUGUGUGUCUGUGUGACUGUCUGCCUGUAACUGAAUGUAUGUGUGUAUUUGUGUGACUGUUUGCCUGUGUGUGACAUACUUAGCCUGCCCCUCUGUAAUGCAGGGAGGCAGUCUGGCACCUCUGGACUGCACUUAUGAUCAUAAGUAGCUGUCUGUGUGUGUGACUGUUUGCGUGUGUGUGUGUGUGUCAGAGAG